rnacentral:rRNA from 1 species
UACAGAGGGGGCAAGCGUUAUUCGGAAUUAUUGGGCGUAAAGGGCGCGUAGGCGGCCUGGCAAGUGGAAGGUGAAAUCCCUCGGCUUAACCGAGGAACUGCCCUCCAAACUGCUUGGCUUGAGUUCGGGAGAGGUGAGUGGAACUGCGAGUGUAGAGGUGAAAUUCGUAGAUAUUCGCAAGAACACCAGUGGCGAAGGCGGCUCACUGGCCCGGUACUGACGCUGAGGCACGAAAGCGUGGGGAGCAAACAGG